rnacentral:tRNA from 1 species
GCCUCCUUAGCUUUAAUGGUAGAGCAACUCACUUGUAAUGAGAAGGUUGUCAGUUCGAGUCUGGCAGGAGGCUCA